rnacentral:rRNA from 1 species
GACGAACGCUGGCGGCGUGCCUAAUACAUGCAAGUCGAACGCUUUUUCUUUCACCGGAGCUUGCUCCGCCGAAAGAAAAAGAGUGGCGAACGGGUGAGUAACACGUGGGUAACCUGCCCAUCAGAAGGGGAUAACACUUGGAAACAGGUGCUAAUACCGUAUAACACUAUUUUCCGCAUGGAAGAAAGUUGAAAGGCGCUUUUGCGUCACUGAUGGAUGGACACGCGGUGCAUUAGCUAGUUGGUGAGGUAACGGCUCACCAAGGCAACGAUGCGUAGACGACCUGAGAGGGUGAUCGGCCACACUGGGACUGAGACACGGCCCAGACUCCUACGGGAGGCAGCAGUAGGGAAUCUUCGGCAAUGGACGAAAGUCUGACCGAGCAACGCCGCGUGAGUGAAGAAGGUUUUCGGAUCGUAAAACUCUGUUGUUAGAGAAGAACAAGGAUGAGAGUAACUGCUCGUCCCUUGACGGUAUCUAACCAGAAAGCCAUGGCUAACUACGUGCCAGCCGCCGCGGUAA